CUCUCUUUUACUCCUCUUCCCUCUCCUUUUUUAUUCUUCAUAAUUUGUGUGCCUCUAUUGCCAUAUCUCUAUGCCACGUCCUUCAAGUAGUUUACCAUGGUACAGGAUUUUACUAGCUGGAGACGCAGACCUUUUCUACUAACUGAGCCCAGCUCCCCCUCUCUCUCUGGUGUGACAGGUUAUGGGCGGGGAAGGGCUGGGUUUCCUGUGUGUAUCAAGAAUGGUCCACCACUCAAAAGACGUCCAGCCAACUUGACACAACUGUGGGAAGCAUUUGAGCCAACAUGGGCCAGCAUCCCUAUGGAACGCUUUCGACACCUUGUAGAGUCCAUGCCCCGACAAAUUGAGGCUGUUCUGAG
rnacentral:lncRNA from 1 species